CUGCCUUAAACUAAUGAGUAUGGAAAACAAAACGAGUGGUGAGAGUUGCUCACAGCACCAAGUCAUGUGCGAAUGAAUUUGUGGAGGGGUUAUAGGCUGGCCGAGUGGAGACGCUACUAACUUUGCAGAACUUACUCUGUGCAGGCCUCCCA